GCCUGGCUGGCUCAGGCGGUACAGCAUGUGACUCUCAAUCUCAGGGUUGUGAGUUCGAGCCCCACAUUGGGUG
rnacentral:tRNA from 1 species